rnacentral:rRNA from 1 species
CGAACGCUGGCGGCGUGCUUAACACAUGCAAGUCGAACGCGAAAGGGACUUCGGUCCUGAGUAAAGUGGCGCACGGGUGAGUAACGCGUAGAUAACCUGUCUUCAUGUCUGGAAUAAUACGCCGAAAGGGGUACUAAUACCGGAUAUUCUUGCUUUUCAUAAGUUAUGCAAGCAAAGGUGGCCUCUGCAUAUGCUACUGCAUGAAGAGGGGUCUGCGUACCAUUAGCUAGUAGGUGGGGUAAUGGCCUACCUAGGCGACGAUGGUUAGCGGGUCUGAGAGGAUGAUCCGCCACACUGGCACUGGAACACGGGCCAGACUCCUACGGGAGGCAGCAGUGAGGAAUAUUGCGCAAUGGGGGAAACCCUGACGCAGCGACGCCGCGUGAGUGAGGAAGGCCUUCGGGUCGUAAAGCUCUGUCAAGAGGAAAGAAGUGUACAAUGGCUAAUACCUGUUGUAUUUGACGGUACCUCUAAAGGAAGCACCGGCUAACUCCGUGCCAGCCGCUGC